GACGAACGCUGGCGGCGUGCCUAAUACAUGCAAGUUGAGCGCUGACGGUUGGUACUUGUACCAACUGGAUGAGCAGCGAACGGGUGAGUAACGCGUGGGGAAUCUGCCUUUGAGCGGGGGACAACAUUUGGAAACGAAUGCUAAUACCGCAUAAAAACUUUAAACACAAGUUUUAAGGUUGAAAGAUGCAAUUGCCUCACUCAAAGAUGAUCCCGCGUUGUAUUAGCUAGUUGGUGAGGUAAAGGCUCACCAAGGCGAUGAUACAUAGCCGACCUGAGAGGGUGGUCCGCCACAUUGGGACUGGGACACGGCCCAAACUCCUACGGGAGGCAGCAGGAGGGAAUCUUCGGCAAGGGACGAAAGGCUGACCGAGCAACGCCGCGGGAGUGAAGGAGGGUGUCGGAUCGGAAAAGUCUGUUGGUAGGGAAGAACGUGGGUGAGGGUGGAAAGCUCAUCAAGUGACGGUAACUACCCAGAAAGGGACGGCUAACUACGUG
rnacentral:rRNA from 1 species